GGGCAGGCCCGGCGCGGCAGAGCCUGCCGAACCCCGCCAGGGUCGAAAGACAGCAACGGUAAGGAAGUGCCUCUGGGUGCCGCCGAUCACCUGCCCGGA
rnacentral:SRP_RNA from 1 species